rnacentral:rRNA from 1 species
AUUGAACGCUGGCGGCAGGCCUAACACAUCCAAGUCGAACGAGUGGCGGACGGGUGAGUAAUGUCUGGGAAACUGCCCGAUGGAGGGGGAUAACUACUGGAAACGGUACCUAAUACCGCCUACCAUCGGAUGUGCCCAGAUGGGAUUAGCUAGUAGGUGGGGUAACGACUCACCUAGGCGACGAUCCCUAGCUGGUCUGCGAGGAUGACCAGCGACACUGGAAGUGAGACACGGGCCAGACUCAGACGGGAGGAAGAAGUGGGGAAUAUUGGACAAUGGGCGCAAGCCUGAUGCAGCAAUGCAGCGUGUAUGAAGAAGGCCUUCGGGUUGUGAAGUACUUUCAGCGAGGAGGCGUUACUCGCAGAAGAAGCACCGGCUAACUCCGUGCCAGACGCCGCGGUAAUUC